AAAUAAGUGAAAUAAAUUAAAGAUUAUUAUGUAUACUUAUAUUUAGAACCAACAAAUUUAAAGAGAAUUUUUUGACAUAUAGAUGACACAUGUCGAAUAAAUAGAGCGCCACUUGUCAGCUUUUUGGAGCAUAAGUUUGAGGAAACCUUACUUUAUUAUAUAAGAUUAAUACUAAAGACAUCUAUCAACUUUUAUCCAAUGAAGAUGCUCUAAGCCACCCAAUGACCCAAAUUACUUGAAACCACAACUUUGCUUGUGUUUUUUUUGGGCAUUUCUAAGUUAUAACACGGAAGGUGAUAAUCCAAAAAAACUCUUUGAUUGUGGUUAGAUGUAAAACUAAGCAAAUAAAUGUAUUGAAACGAAAGCCAUACUCAUCCGCACUAACUAUUUUUCAGUUGCUCAUUUUUUUAAUUUCUAUUCUCAAACCUUCAGCUUGAUGUUGCAUUUAUUGUAAAACAGUAUUUUUUUGGUGAAUAAAUUUAACAUUCAUACCAAAAAGAAAAUACUCUAACAUAUGUUAAAAGAAAUUUUCAUCGUAGACACCUUUCUAACUUUUUCUUUCACAAAGAGACAAAGUGGGCUGGCCCAACCAGAUUUUAGUCAUUCAGCCAAAAAUGGACAAAUUUGCUCUGGAACGAGAAAUGAAAGGAGGCGGUUCAGUUUCGUUUCUUUAUUUUUCUGGUUACCAAAAUUUAAAUUUAAAAUUAAAUCAAAAACACGUUAUUAACUUUCUGGAACCAAAGGAAAUCAAAAACUGUUUGUCGAAGACGAAGAACAAUUCCGACGAAACACAAACUCCGAUCGAAAGUGAAAUUUUGAUUGAGGCUCUGUGCGAGUUCUGGUCGUUGCUUAAGUUGAGGAAAUUUCGAUCGACAAACGUGAUAAAGGAUAACAAAAAGAGGAUUUUCUGGUUUCUUGAAUUAUUGUUCAUACUCAAAUGGCGGAGAUGAAGAUGAGUAGUCGGCGGCGAGGAGUUUCGGAUGUUAAUGAGUUAACAAGCGGCUGCAAAAUUAGGGUUGCAGAGGUUGAAGACGAGUGCAAAAUUACAAUUAUACCUUUCAUUAAAAAAAUUUGUAUGUAUAUGUAAUUUACGGUAUACGUACACACACAUUACUACAUACAUUACUACCGUGUACGUACACAUUACUACCGUGUAUGUACAAAUUACUACCGUGUACAUACACAUUACUACCGUGUACGUACAUAUUACUACCGUGUACGUAUAUAUUAUUACCGUUACGCACAUAUGUUUAUAUGAUAUUGCUAAUCGUGAAUUGUUUUCAAAUGAUAAUAAAUAAAAUAUUAU
rnacentral:sRNA from 1 species